rnacentral:rRNA from 1 species
CAAUAGCGUAUAUUAAAGUUGUUGCGGUUAAAAAGCUCGUAGUUGGAUUUCUGCUGAGGAUGACCGGUCCGCCCUGUGGGUGUGCAUCUGGCUCAGCCUUGGCAUCUUCCUGAAGAACGUAGCUGCACUUGACUGUGUGGUGCGGUAUUUAGGACAUUUACUUUGAGGAAAUUAGAGUGUUUCAAGCAAGCGCACGCUUUGAAUACAUUAGCAUGGAAUAAUAAGAUAGGACCUUGGUUCUAUUUUGUUGGUUUCUAGAGCUGAGGUAAUGAUUGAUAGGGAUAGUUGGGGGCAUUCGUAUUUAACUGUCAGAGGUGUAAUUCUUGGAUUUGUUAAAGACGGACUACUGCGAAAGCAUUUGCCAAGGAUGUUUUCAUUGA